GAGUUUGAUCAUGGCUCAGGAUGAACGCUAGCGGCAGGCUUAACACAUGCAAGUCGAGGGGUAUAGUUCUUCGGAAUUAGAGACCGGCGCACGGGUGCGUAACGCGUAUGCAAUCUACCUUUCACAGAGGGAUAGCCCAGAGAAAUUUGGAUUAAUACCUCAUAGUAUAACGAUUCCGCAUGGAGAUGUUAUUAAAGUCACAACGGUGAAAGAUGAGCAUGCGUCCCAUUAGCUAGUUGGUAAGGUAACGGCUUACCAAGGCUACGAUGGGUAGGGGUCCUGAGAGGGAGAUCCCCCACACUGGUACUGAGACACGGACCAGACUCCUACGGGAGGCAGCAGUGAGGAAUAUUGGACAAUGGGCGCAAGCCUGAUCCAGCCAUGCCGCGUGCAGGAUGACGGUCCUAUGGAUUGUAAACUGCUUUUGCACAGGAAGAAACAACGCUACGUGUAGCGUCUUGACGGUACUGUGAGAAUAAGGAUCGGCUAACUCCGUGCCAGCAGCCGCGGUAAUACGGAGGAUCCAAGCGUUAUCCGGAAUCAUUGGGUUUAAAGGGUCCGUAAGCGGUUUAGUAAGUCAGUGGUGAAAGCCAUCGCUCAACGGUGGAACGGCCAUUGAUACUGCUAGACUUGAUUAUUAGGAAGUACUAG
rnacentral:rRNA from 1 species